UCAACUCUGAGCUGUGUUAGACACCAUCGCCCAGGGCCCCUGGCGUAGCUGGUCCUCAGCUGCCAACAGUGGUAACCCUGUCAGUUCUACAUCCUGCACUCACGCCUUCCCUGCCCUGCACACCUCCCCACCCAUUCAGCGGGGCUUCCUGGGGUCGCCUCUGAAGUGACAGACUGCAUAUGCCACAGUGGUCCCAGAAGAUUCCUGUGGAGCUGAACACUUCCUGUUCGGGGACAUCAUAGCCCUCGUAGUGUCACAGCAUAGUGCUAUGUGCUGAUGCUGGUGUCCCCACACCUAGUGCACUCGUGUCGUCUAAAAGUAUAGCACAUACAAGCAUGCACGGCACGUAAUACUUGGUGCGGAUAAUAUGUUACUGCGUUGUGUAUUUUUUAUACUUUUAAUUGUCGUUUAGAGUAUACUCCUACUUACUGAAAAAGUUUACUGUGAAACAGCAUAUUACUCAUCCAUCUCCUAUAUGCCAUAUCUCUUGAUUGCAUCGUUUUGCCUUGGGCUUGGUGUAAUUUCAUGUUGCUUUAUUCAGCUUGGUCCUGGAGGCAGUAGGCUAUGCCACCUGGAGUCACACAGAGCCUCUGUGUGUUGUAGGCUACACCAUCCAGUUGUGUGAAAGCACUGGCGCCGUGGUGUUUGCACACUUGCUGAGUGGCACGGCGCCCUCCAUCAUUAAGUGACACACGAUUGCACAUACAGUUGAAUUCUCAUUUCAGGGAUGGCUGUUUGGCCUGGCAGUUAAGAUACUGCUUGGGAGGCCUACCUUCAGCAUCAGGGAGCCUUGGUUCAAUUUUCUGCUCUGGUUCCUGAUUUGUUUCCUACCAGCACAGUUUCCUGCCAGCACAGAUGGUGGUUUGAAUAGUUGGGUCCCGGGUCUGUGCAGCGGCUCACUAGGCUAAUCCUCCGCCUGCUGCGCCGGCACCCCAGGUUCUAGUCCCAGUCAGGGUGCCGGAUUCUGUCCCGGUUGCUCCUCUUCCAGUCCAGCUCUCUACUAUGGCCCGGGAGUGCAGUGGAGGAUGACCCAAGUGCUUGGGUCCUGCACCUGCAAGGGAGACCAGGAGAAGCACCUGGCUCCUGGCUUCGGAUCAGCAUGGUGCGCCAGCCACAGCAGCCACUGGGGGGUGAACCAACAGAAAAGGAAGACCUUUCUCUCUGUCUCUCUCUCUCACUGUCCAUUCUGCCUGUCAAAAAAAAAAAAAAAAAAAAAAAAAAAGGUUGGGUCCCUGCCACCUAGAUUGAGUUCCUGGCUUUUGGCUCUGGCACCAUGGCUGUUGCAGGGAUUUGGGGAAUGAACAAAUGGAUGGGUAUCCCUUUCUCUUUCUCUCAAGUGAGUUAAAAAAAAUUCUCAUUUCAGGGUCUGUUUCUGGAAGAUUCCAAGCUAAAGCACACAGAUGCAAAUGAGUCACUCUGGUAUUCUGUGUCUAGACAUUCUCCUUUAUCAUUGGACAAAUGUGCAUGAUCACUUGUUGGACCACGAGCUUUAAUUCUUUGCCAUUCUUGGGGAGGGCCCCUGGGUGUACUUGUCCAGAUGCAGACAAGAUACUGCUAGCUUGCUGUGUGAUGGCACACAAGCCCUGGGCCCGCCAUGGGCCACCGCCAUUCUUUGAGUGUUGUGGUAGCUUCAGGUUUCUAUGAGGAGAUUCAGGGUCGUGCUGUAGGAAUCAGUCUUGCGCUGUGUGGUAGCUCUCUGGAUGGCAGUGGUGCUUGGCUGCUGUGUGGCAUUGGAGGGAAGGUCAGAUCUAGGGAUGGAGGGUAGGUGGCAGCAAAGUCCUGGUCAUAUCAGUCGGAACCUACCAGCUUCCUUUUCUCCAUGUCGGAGAUGACUUUCAGUCUCCCCACUCCAGGCAUUUCCAAGUUUUUCUAUGCAUGACCUGGUUUUCCAGCAAGCUGCCAUCUCCACUGCGGACCCUGCACCCUGCAUAGCCAGAUUGUCUCUGAAGCUGUUCACAUGGUCAAGUUUGCAGUGUAAACCCAGUGAAAAGAUGGUUCCCAUAGAAGCCAAUGAGAGAGGAUUUUAAGUCUUAGAAUCCUGCUGGUCUGUACACCUGGCUGCUAAUCUUUAGAGCAAGCUGAUGGAGAAGGUGACUUUGAGGGCGACGUUCAGCAGCAACAUAAAUAACAGGCCAGCUGUAAUUAGCUUUCAUGGUCUCUGGAAACCUCAGGAAAGACUUGAAACACUUCUAUGAGAACUCUGGACAAACUGCAUGUGUCUGAAAUUAGGAGGAAGGCCCAAAAGCCAGAAAGGAGAUCAGAUCCUCUCGGAAGUUGAGUUUCCCAAUCAAAACACACUCAGGUGCAGGGAGGACCCUCCUGGGAUGAGACUUUGACGGUCUGCUUUAGAGGCAGGCAGAGGAUUCUACUAUGUGCUGCUUCAGAGAACAGCGAAAGAAGGCCAGAGACUUUGCCAGCUUCUGCUGCUUUCCCAGUUGCCAAGAUGCCUUAUCUCAUGGCUGGGUAUAAGAUCCUUGGAAUGCGGUAUCUUCAAACAUUCUUCCACACUCUCACCUCCAGUACUGAAGACAAGGUGUCUGAUGUUCACUUAUCCUUUUUCCAUAUGGAAAUUCUGCCAGUGAAGAUGGGAAGAUAUAUGGAAGCCCUGUGUCUCCUGCUAUUUCAGCUCUGAAAAGUCUGUCCUCUAAUAAAAUGCUGCGUUUAUUUUGAAGAAUUUAAAGUUAGGGGUGUGGGGUAAGAGAAGUGAUAAAUUGGAGCGCUUGUUCUAAAGCUGUGGCACCUGAACAAACACGGAGCCCUUUACCCACUUCUGCCUCCAAAUCUUCUUUCUUUUCUUUCCUAUUCUAAGGUGAGGGUGUCCUGCAAAAGCUCUUCCUGUGGUUGGGAAAUGUCCCAUUUCCCCCUCGAUUGAGGCGGCUCUCAAGGAAUUCUCAUGUAGGAUAAGGAUGGACCACCUCCUUCAGGAAGACUGGGCCCCCAGCCUCCUCCGAAGGCCAGAUGUUGGUAUCUCAGUCUAGACUUCCAGGGAAGCAAGAAAAGCAAUUCCUCCUCCCUGCUUUUAACUCAAUUAGUUUGUGUUUUGCAUUGGGCUGAGCAGUGGAAACUUUCUCUCUGCCAUUUCUGAGUUUCUCCUCCUUUGAAUGUAGGUUGCAUCUAAGUUCAAGGAAGCUGUGAAAGUGCAGAGUGUCCAAGGAUAGGGCAGUGCAGGGGGCAAAGCUUAAUGUCAGUGGUUCCCAUUGCACCACCACACAUCUCAUCCUGCCUGGUUCUUGGUCAUUGAUUCAUACAGAUCACUGCCUCCCAGACUUCCAGUCCCACUAAUACAUCUUUCUGCACUCCAACUGUUGAUCCCUCUCUGUCAAUCAGAAACUUUUAUGUUCUCCUGUCAUUGUGCAGGUUGUCUUGGCCCAUCUGCUUGGAUGCCCCUUGUUGCUUCUCUUCUACCAUCGCAUCCAGAGGCAUGGAGCCAGAGUGUGCAGUUCUGUGUUCUGCAGGAAGUGAGGCACAGAAUCCUUGGCUCCCUGGAGUUCCUGUUGCUACCCUGGAAUCUUCAGUGAGCUGAGUGGCCCCGCCAUGAGAGUGUAGGCCCCUAUAUGCUACUCAAACAUCUACUCACAUAUCAUUGAAUGAUACAACACUGCCAGUUUUGUUGGUCAGAACUGGCUUAGGGGCUGGUGUUGUGGUGCAGUGGGUUGGGCCACCGUUGCCUGAGACAUCAGCAUCCCAUAUGAGCUCCAGUUCGAGUCCUGGAGUUCCAGGAUCCUGACUUCUACCUGGCCCAGUCUCAGUCAUUGCAGCCAUUUGGGGGUGUGAACCAGCAGAUGGAAUCUCUUUCUCUCUCUCUCUGUCUGUCUCUCCCUCUCUCUCCCUCUCCCCCACCUCUUCUCUCUCCCUCUUUCCCUCUGUAUCUCUCUCUCUCUCCCUUCCUAUCUUCCUCUAACUCUGCCUUUCAAAUAAAUAAAUAAGAGCUGGCUUAAUUGCAACAGAUUUAUUCUAAACUGAAUGGAAUAGAAUAAAUUCAGGGCUAUACUGCCAAAUCAGAGUAUACAUUAUUCAAUCUGUCCAUCAUCUUUAUAAAAAUUUUUAUUGCAAUCUUCCUAUAAAGUUUUAUUCCUCCUUGGUGAUCUUUAGUGGUCUUUUGAAAACUAAUCAGGUUUUUGUGCUUGUAUAUUUUGAACAGUUUGUUUCUAAACUGCUGAUACUCUUCAUUUGGAAGAUUGUCUAGUGGUAAGAAAAUGUUCCCAAGUUUUAAAAAUAUGGAACCAGCAGAGUUUUUAGAGGGAAAAUACACAAUUUGGAAACAAAUCUGCACUUUUCAGAAAAAUUUACAGAUAUCUUUUUUAAAAACUGUUCCCUCUAUAACACACAUUUCUGCUUUUUUUUAAAGCUUCUUUUCAUUCUAUGUUUAAAUGUCAUCUUUGCCUUGAGUGGACAGGUUGGGCAUUUUUUUUUGAAAAUGAAGAUGUUUGUUAGAUUGCAAAGCAGUGACAGCCACUUGUCAUUGCAGGAAAGGUCAGCAUAUUUGAAACACUCGUCUGUUUGUAAAAGAAAAGUCUAUAACUCAUCUUUAAAUUUGACAAAUCGUUUAAGUACUUUGCCGUGAGAUUCCAGACAAAUCUUUAUGUGUCACAAAAAGAAUUUCAAGGUCGGUCCCCUUCUAUUCUGAACUAUUGUAAGGAUUCUACUUGAUGUUAAAGGCCUUCAUUUUAUGCGGUUUGCAAGGUCGCUGACGUUCUGUAGUCCCAAUUUCACUGCUGCACCGUUGCGGUGAGGGUUUGCCUCUGAAUGAUUCAGUGUGCAAGCAUGCUUCGUGGGCAAUGCUGUCUUGGCAGUCGUAGCCCAGAAUUCCUUUUUAAUCUCCUAAGACAUUGUAUUUAAUAAAGAAAUCAGUUGUUAAGAUUGUAUCUCUCCCCACAUCACAUCUUUACUCCUACAACUUGCUGAAAGUACUUCCUUGUGGAUUUCAUUAUUGAAACUGAUCCUGUGAGUUAAAAUGCGUGAGAAACAUCUGUACUGGAUGUGUUCAUAAUGUCAUAUGCAGAAUGCUUGUUCCAGUGCUCCUGUCUACAAUGGUGUUCCUGGGACUACUCCGAUGGUGCUUGCUGACCAACGGAUGCGACUUAGUGUGUUGCCCUGAUGUUUUCUGUGCACUUUUAGUCAGUUUUUCUUGUUGAGGGAAGACAAGUGUCCUUCCAUAGCUAAUUGGCUUUUUUGGGUCCACUAGUAGCUAAAACACUGCUUUUGAAAUUUUGUGAAGUCCCAGAUGCAGACUUCAAAUAUAACUAAGGAAAAGUCAAUGUUUGCAUCUUGUUGUGAUUUUCAAAAAACGUGUUGUUCAGUGGAAUGGUUUCACCCAGCCAUUUUCCACUGAAUUAAUCUCUAAGCAAGUGAUUUGGAUAAUGUUCUUUUAAGGGAGGAACAAGGGUGUCCCUAGCUAAGACCAUUUCAGAUGCACAGGGGUGAGCUAACUCUGUUAGAUUCUGUAGAUGUUUUGGGUCUUUAAGAUUCAGUUUCCUGGAAUUCCAGUUGCGAAGGACUUAAGCUUAAAAAGUCAAUGAGCCCUGUGCAUUAGAGAAUUCCCAUCCUGCCUUUGGGAUCCGGAGUGGGAGGUGCCUGGAGAUGGGUCUGUUGGAGAUGCCCUACCGUGUGAUACUGUAACCAUUGGAAGGAUACAGUUCUUCUCUGUGGCUUUGAUAAAUAUACAAUCAAUUUAAAUAUUUCAUUAGUAACAUCUCUUCUCAUCCUGCAAAGAAGUAUCUCAUCUAACCCUUGGGUGUGGUCUCUUCACUCUGGAGGUCAUUGGUUCAAGGACACAAGAUAAUCACUGUGCUUUACCUGUUUUGAGUCUUUGUGCCAAUAGAACCUUUGUAUAAAGAACCAAGGAAUUCUGGGGGAGCGGUGAUUGUGAAGUCCGGUUUGUUUGGUACUGAUGGAGUCAGUCAAGUACUGCUGCCUCUGUGCUGCAGCGUUCUUGUACAGAACUUGAUCUGUUUUAACGAGGGUGCUCCAGCAACUGAGGCUGCUUUCUGCUGGGUUACAGAAAGAAAGGCACGCAGAGCAGAGCCAGAUCCCCUCUGGAGCAUGGAGCCAACCUCUGCUGAAUCCAGCAGAGCCCCAAGUUGUGGGGAGCAGGGCCUGUCUCCCGCAACAUGGCGAAAUAAGUACUGAGACUACCGAGACUAGACUAGACCACUGAGACUAUUAAGACUAACUCUAUGCAUCUGAUCUCCCAUCAUAUGGCGCUGAGAGAGUAAACAAAUCUUACACAGCUGCUUCGUUAAUUAGCUGAUUCCUGGCCCAACCCCUUAAAAGGGGGAGAGAGACAACAUGUGCGCCGUGCCCCCCUAAGAGAGUCGGUUGGAGAGCUCGCCGCUGCUGCUCCUCCGCGGAGGCGGGGGAGCGGCAGCAAACCCGGGAAGGACCGGGGAGAGAAAACAGCGCAGGGUCCGGUGUCGUUCCUCCGCGAGUGGGGGGAGCGACACUGAGUGGCCUGCAGACCUACGUAGUGUCACAGCAGACUAAUGACAAACAGUGAACAUUUGCAAGUGAGUCCGUGAGCACGCUCAGCAUUGAGUGUAACCUUCAGGGCUCUUGCUCCCUCCUACCCUAACAUCUAUGAAGAGUUACUAACACACAGGUGCUUGGAGGUUCUGCUCAGAAUUACCUGGACAUGUGCCUUUGUUCCCAAAAUAUGUUGGUGUCUGGCAGCUGUGUCAGACUAGAAGCUAGUCCCUAAGAGGUGCUAUUAUUUUUCAUCAUUCACAACUUUGAGAUGAAAGAUGUACCCGUCUGGGGCUGAUCAGAGCAGAGCCGUGAACUUAUUCUGCCGCAAUGCAGGGUUUCCUGUAAGCACCAGGACGUCUGUGCACGUGGUAGGGGCUGGGGAGCAGUGAUCUGAAGGCUGACACUGAGCUCAGGGCUAGAAAGCGAGGGACCUGUGAGCCCGUCUGACGUCUGAGAAGUCACCUGGGCUGGUUCCCAGAGUGGGCGUGUCCAGUGAGGCCCGUGAGACUCCCAGGUGUGACAGAGCUGAUGCAGUUGCCAUUGAGACAUUCCUUACCCACACCUGGAACCUCUCGGGGAAGGGAGUGUGGAGAGAUGUGGCUCCAGGGGCGGGUGUUUGGCCUAGUGGUGAAGCCCAAUUUGAUACUGAAAGUCCGCUCCUCAUCAGAUCAGAAUAACAAGGACAAAGGUUGAAGAUAAGGGAGAGAGGAAGUUUGAUCUACCAGUGGGAGAAGAAGCUAGCAGACCUCGGGUCCCAAGAACUGCCAUCCCACUCAGUGAGACCAUCUUGGACGUCAGCACAGUUCCUUGAGAAACUUGCUUGAUGGGUUGACUUUAUGGUGUUCUGCACAACCAGGCAGCCACAACAUGACAUCAGGCCAAAAUCUGAAAGAGGCGAAGUCUUGUGUUAAAAGAUUCUGACGUUUUGUGCAUCAGGAUGAAGCCCGCCAUCCCAGAGCCCGGGCCUGCCAUGUCCUUAGGUACCCAUUCCCGGGACUUCACAUUCCCUUACAGUCAAUGGAAACCUCCUGUCCUGCCGGCCAGGGUGGACCAGGUCACUCUGCUACUUCAGCUGGGCCUCCUCAAGGCAGUUUCUGGAAUUCAUGAGCAAGGUUGUUUAUCUGUUUGAACAGACCCUCUCUGUAGUCAUCAGAAUAUGAAAAGGAAAAGAAAAAUGUAUCUGGUCUAGUGACAGUUCAGUCCUGUGUCAGAGUACUUGGGUUCAUAUCUUGGCUCUGGCUCCUGGUUCCAGCUGCCGGCUAACACACACACUGGGAGGCAGCAGUGUCCCCUCAAGCAAUCGGGGUCCUGCCGUCCUCGUGGAGGGCCUGUAUGGACUCCCCAGCUCUUGUCUUUGGCUCUUCUGUUUGUCUUUUUUAAAAAAAUUUUUAUUUAUUAUUUUGAAAUAUAGAGUUACAGAGAGAGGGGAGAUAGAGAGAGAGAGGGGUCCUCCAUCCACUGGUUCACUCCUAAAUGGUUACAACAGCCAGAGCUGAGCUGAUCCGAAGCCAGGAGCCAGGGGCUUCCUCUGGGUCUCCCACAUGGGUGCAGGGCCCCAAGCACCUGGGCCAUCUUCCACUGCUUUCCCAGGCCAUUGCAGAGAGCUGGAUCGGAAGAGGAGCAGCUAAGACACAAACCAGCAUCUCUAUGGGAUGUUGGCAUUGCAGGCAGAGGCUUAGCCCACUAUGCCACAGCACCGACCCCUUGUGUUUGCUUUGAGCUCCAAAGCCCAUGCACUUGCACACCUCACAGCUGCCCCUAGAAGUUCAGUUUCCUUGGAGAGGGCGACGCUUCCUAUUCAUGUAUGCUGCUUCAGUCAACUGGAAUUUUUGGUAGACUGUAGUAGAAACAUAUGUAUGUAGAAAGAAUUCAGUGGAAUUUUAGAAAUCAAAUUGUUUUGAUCUUGAAAUAAGAAGCCGAGAGAAUAUUGACCAAAUUUUUUCACCAGUAAACACCAUUCUUCUCCUGUGCCACUUAGUUUGUUCGUAUUUUGCAACAGGAAUUCUCGCCACCCUCACCAAGGCUGGUUCCUUGAGAAGCAGGUGUCUGGUUGUCUCUUGAUUGCCUCCCUGACCCCAGGCAGCAGGGCCCUGUCAAGCCACAUAAAAAACCAUCUUUUAAUUAGUUAGUGACUUGAAGUUUUUUCACUCCAUCACCUGGAUUUGCUCAGGAGUAUGAAGAAAAAGAGAUGGCGGCUCAAUAUUCUUGUCACAAUCCCUUCUCAAACAGGGCCUGACUUCCCUGUGAUGUGGAAGAAUAUUUGCAUUUGAGAAAAGCAUCUGUUUUGCCUGGUCGCUGGAAUUUGCUUUCACUCUCAACCCUAUCCAGUCUGUCUCUCCCAGCUUCUAAAAAUAUAAUCGCUUUUUUUUUUUUUUUUUUUGCUCUCCUUUCAACUUGAAACGGACAGAGAAUGCAGACAUCUUGGACCAUUUACACCCAGAGGGCUGUCAGCAGAGGCGCUGGGAGAUGGAACACACAUACCCGACAAACUGAAAUGUUUUGCAUUAGCUUGAGCUCCGACAGCCCCCACGUCGGGGAGCAACCACCAGGACUCAACUGCAAAUCCCCAUUGCUGUGAGAGAGUCCUGUAGACUGGAAUAAUUGCUAAUAUUUUCCUGCUUCAUAGACUGUGGGUCCAGACAAGCCAUUGGGUCGUUGUUAGCCUCUGCUGCUGGGUCAGCCCUGUCUGCCGAUUCCACCAGGUGGUAACUAUUUCAUGACAAGUUUACAGGGGGAAGAAGUCAAAAGUCCACCCUUAUUUUAAGUGGAUCUCUCCUAACCUCUGCUGGGCUUAUUUGGCAUUCUGAUUGUGACAUAGCUGGUCCUAGGGGUGGCCGGGCAGCAGUUCCCUUGUCUGCAUUUUUGGCAAAGUUGUUUCUAUAAAACAUAUCACAGGUGCAUCUAGAGUCCGUGUCAGAUGGAAGCCUUGGAAACCUCGAGAGCAGGUCUGCCUUCUGCCCUGGGCCCCAGGAUGGUGUCACACACUAGCCUGGGAUGCCUCCAGCAGAGUUGGACAGUUCAGUGUCUUCUGCCUCAGGCACAGCCAGAGCCUGCCUGUGCAUGACUUUGUCUCUCACAGCCUUCAAGAGAUGCCAGAGCUUGUGUCACCUCUGCUGGCAUUCUCCAGUGACUUACAGAAGACAGAUCAUUUGUGCUGAGCCAUGGAGGUCCUCAUCCUCAUCCUUUUUGUAAGACGUAUGGGUUAAAAACUUGGGGACUGGUGUUGUAGCACGGUGAGUUCAAGUCCCAGCUGCUCCACUUCCGAUCCAGCUCCCUGCUGAUGUGCCUAGGAGAACAGCAGAUGAUGGCCAAGAACUCAGGUGCCCGUAGCCUAUGUGGGAAAACCCAAUGAAGCUCCUGCCCCUGGCUUCAGCCUGGCCCAGCCCUGGCCGUUGGGGCCACUGGGGGAGUGGACCAGCAGAUGGACGAUCUCUUUCUGUCUCUCUCUCUCACUUCCUAUAACUCUGUCUUUCAAAUAAUCUUUUUAAACACCCCCCCCCAAAAAAAACCUAAAAGGUCCAUGUACUCUUGUGCACUGCUGGUGGACGUGUGAUUGACAUGACCACUUUGCUAUGCACUGUUACAUCUAAGAAAGCAGAGCAUGUAUGUGUCCUAUGACCCAGCAAGUCCAUGCCUAGGAAAAAACCUAAUAGAAAUGGAGGCUUUUGUGCAUUGGAAGGCCAUGUGUGUCCUAGGGUUGGGUGUUUGGCACGGCCGUUAAAGACACCACUUCAUGCACCCACAAAUCCGUAGCAGAGUGCCUGUUCUAGCGCUGGGUCCUCUGCUUCUGACCCAGCUUCCUGCUAAUGCGCACCCUCGGAGGCAGUAAGUGACGGCCCAAAUACCUGGGUUCCUGCCACCCAUAUGGGAGACCUGGAUGGAGUUCCUGGCUCUGGCUUUGACCCAGCCCAGCUCUGGCUGUUCGCAGAAUUUGGGGGGAGUGAACCAGCAGAUGAAAGAUUUUUUUUUAUCUCUCUGCCUUUCAAAUAAAGUGAAAAUAAUUGAAGAAAUAAGUAAAAGUAGCACUAUUUAAAAAAAAAAAAAAAGAUAAGAAGACAUGUAGUAGAAGGAUCUCAGUAGCAUUAUUUAGAGUUUUCCCAAACUGAAAAUCCUGCAGAGGCUCCUCGGCAGAAUUGAUCAAUAGUUUGUGUGCUACUUGUCUGGUACUGUUACCACAGUGGCGAGAAUGAAAGAAGUGCGGUUGCAUGCCACGACAGGAAUGGAGCUCACACACGGAGUGCCGAAUGUUGGAAGCCAAGUGCAGCGCGCCUGUUUCUGUGCUUGAAUUCCUUACCUGAAGUGUGAGAAUAAGAAACAUUGAUUCAUGGCGUCGGAAGCAGGAUGGGGGGUGGGAUUUGGGGGUGAGGAAGCCCGGGCUGGGGGCCUGACACCAUCCUCCCCCUGAUUCUGGGGCCUGACUGCACUUGUGUGUUUGUUUUGCAUUAACUUCGUCCUCAUUUGGGCCCUCUCCUGUACGAAUGUGAGACUUUGGUAGUAUUAAAAAUAUGAGAAAUAGAAAUCCUGUGAUGGCAGAGCCAACUUCUCCGUUUUCCUUUCCAAAUUGGCUGUCAGCUGACCAUAAGCGCUCUUGACAAGCACCCUCUUUCUCACUGUUCUUGGAUCCUCUAGUUAAUGGGUCCUACUCCACUGCCCAGCUUCAACCACGAACCCUAAUCUCAUGCUUCUCUCUUCUCUCAACUCCCACCAUUCUGGGGUACUCCACACCCUCCUCUGACCUCCCCAGUCCACCAGCAUCCCUACACUCAGGACCCGGUGCUUGGCAGGGCUGGCCCUAUGCUUCUAAAGCACCUGUGGCCAUUGAGGCAAAAACACCUCCUGUCCAUGUUUCAAUGGCACCUGACGCCCCCUAUUUAUUCUUCCUGAUGAAUAUUCCUACUUAGUUGUUAAAAUCGGGCUGAUAUAGUAGUAGUAUUCUAUAAUCCGUCCAUCCAUCCAUCCAUCCAUCUGACUUUCCAGGCAGGUUCCUUGUGAGUGAGAGGACCUUCAACCAGUAGCCCCCAGGGAGUGGUCAGCAGAGUGUUGACCUCUAAGUUUUGAAGAAUGGACUGAACUGUUGUUUUU